rnacentral:rRNA from 1 species
AUUGAACGCUGGCGGCAGGCCUAACACAUGCAAGUCGAGCGAGCGGCGGACGGGUGAGUAAUGUCUGGGAACCUGCCUGUUGGAGGGGGAUAACUACUGGAAACCGUAGCUAAUACCGCAUACCAUCAGAUGUGCCCAGAUGGGAUUAGCUAGUAGGUGGGGUAACGGCUCACCUAGGCGACGAUCCCUAGCUGGGCUGAGAGGUUGACCAGCCACACUGGAACGGAGACACGGCCCAGACUCCUACGGGAGGCAGCAGUGGGGAAUAUUGGGCAAUGGGCGAAAGCCUGAUGCAGCCAUGCCGCGUGAGUGAAGAAGGCUGUCGGGUUGGAAAGCACUGUCAGAGGGGAGGCGGUAACCGCAGAAGAAGCAACGGCUAACUCCGUGCCAGCCGCCGCGGUAAUUC